rnacentral:rRNA from 1 species
AAGUCGUAACAAGGUUUCCGUAGGUGAACCUGCGGAAGGAUCAUUAAGAGAGAAGCGUGUUGGGGGCGCCGCAUUCGGCACCCCGACCGACUCCCACCCCCCUCUGCGAACUGCUUCGGCGUGGUGCCGAGGGGGCGAAAGCCCCUUUGGCUGCCCGCCGGAGAAUCCCCCCCUUUUAAAAGCAUCGCGGAAGCGAGCCCCCUUAUUCUGGGUUGUGCCUUUGGGCAAUUUAUUUAAAUAAUUUAAAACUUUCAACAACGGAUCUCUUGGUUCCGGCAUCGAUGAAGAACGCAGCGAAAUGCGAUAAGUAAUGUGAAUUGCAGAAUUCAGUGAAUCAUCGAAUCUUUGAACGCACAUUGCGCCCGUCGGUAUUCCGGCGGGCAUGCCUGUCCGAGCGUCUAUUUCAAAAAAUUCUCCCCAGGGCCCUGACCGGCGUGGGACGUUGGGCGUUAUCCGGCGUUGGAGAGGGGACGAGGGUGGCUUUUUGCGAGAAAUCGUGGGAGGCCAGUCUUUCUAACCUUUUCCCCCGGACGCCCCAAAGCCAGGACCGGCGGCGAGAGCAGAAUUUACAUCUCACCCCGAGCGUCGUGGAUCGUCUUUUGGCGAAACCGCCCCGGGUGCGGAUUAUUGAGGAAGCUCCCGUCUGACCGCGAAAAAGACAGGGUAAUUGAGCCUUCUUUGGGCCGAAAGAUUUGCCUCGGAUCAGGUAGGGAUACCCGCUGACUUAAGCAUAUCAAUAAGCGGAGGAAAAGAAACCAACAGGGAUUGCCUUAGUAACUGCGAGUGAAGCGGCAGCAGCUCAAAUUUGAAAUCUGGUUCCGGAGACGGGGCUCGAGUUGUAAUUUGCAGAGGAUGCCUCGGCGGUCGCACCGGUCUAAGUUCCUUGGAACAGGACGUCGCAGAGGGUGAGAACCCCGUACGCGACCGGGUUCGGCGAUCUGCCACGCGGGGCUCCUUCGACGAGUCGAGUUGUUUGGGAAUGCAGCUCUAAAUGGGAGGUAAAUUUCUUCUAAAGCUAAAUAUCGGCCGGAGACCGAUAGCGAACAAGUAGAGUGAUCGAAAGAUGAAAAGCACUUUGGAAAGAGAGUCAAACAGCACGUGAAAUUGUUGAAAGGGAAGCGCUUGCGAUCAGACUCGUCCGCGGUGGUUCAGCCUUGCCGUCAGGCCUGGCGCACUCCAACCGCGGUUACGGGCCAGCGUCGGUCGCGGCGGUCGCUGAAAGGCGGGGGGAACGUGGCUUCGCCUUCGGGUGAAGAGCUUAUAGCCCCUCGCGGAAUGCGGCCAGCUUCGCGACCGAGGACCGCGCCCUUUUGGGGGCUAGGACGCUGGCGUAAUGGUCGUAAGCGGCC